rnacentral:rRNA from 1 species
UACGAGGGGGGCAAAUGUUGUUCGGAAUUACUGGGCGUAAAGCGCGUGUAGGCGGGCAUGCAAGUCGAGUGUGAAAUCCCUGGGCUCAACCCAGGAACUGCAUUCGAAACUGCAUGUCUAGAGUGUCGGAGAGGGAAGCGGAAUUCCUGGUGUAGAGGUGAAAUUCGUAGAUAUCAGGAGGAACACCGGUGGCGAAGGCGGCUUCCUGGACGAUUACUGGACGCUGAGACGCGAAAGCGUGGGGAGCAAACAGG